CUCAGUUCGGAUUGGAGUCUGCAACCCGACUCCAUGAAGCUGGAUUCGCUAGUAAUCGCGCAUCAGCCACGGCGCGGUGAAUACGUUCCCGGGCCUUGUACACACCGCCCGUCAAGCCAUGGAAGCCGGGGGGUACCUGAAGUGCGUGACCGCAAGGAGCGUCCUAGGGUAAAACCGGUGACUGGGGCUAAGUCGUAACAAGGUAUC
rnacentral:rRNA from 1 species